UGGGGAAUAUUGCACAAUGGGCGAAAGCCUGAUGCAGCGACGCCGCGUGAGGGAUGACGGCCUUCGGGUUGUAAACCUCUUUCGACAGGGACGAAGCGCAAGUGACGGUACCUGUAGAAGAAGCACCGGCCAACUACGUGCCAGCAGCCGCGGUAAUACGUAGGGUGCGAGCGUUGUCCGGAAUUACUGGGCGUAAAGAGCUUGUAGGCGGUUUGUCGCGUCGUCUGUGAAAACUCACAGCUCAACUGUGAGCUUGCAGGCGAUACGGGCAGACUUGAGUACUGCAGGGGAGACUGGAAUUCCUGGUGUAGCGGUGAAAUGCGCAGAUAUCAGGAGGAACACCGGUGGCGAAGGCGGGUCUCUGGGCAGUAACUGACGCUGAGAAGCGAAAGCGUGGGUAGCGAACAGGAUUAGAUACCCUGGUAGUCCACGCCGUAACGGUGGGUACUAGGUGUGGGUUUCCUUCCACGGGAUCCGUGCCGUAGCUAACGCAUUAAGUACCCCGCCUGAGGAGUACGGCCGCAAGGCU
rnacentral:rRNA from 1 species